AGUUUAGCCUGUUAGCAUGCUAAAAGUUUCAAACUGAAUAAGCUGUUUCUACCUGCAGGAUUUUGCAGACUGUUUUAAGGAGGCUUGGGAAGGUACUUCUGUACAGCUGAACUGCGGCGUGGAUCUCAGUGCUGAUUGGUUAAAGCCAGAGAGGGCAAAUGCUGAUUGGUUGCCAUAAAGUCAAACAUUGCGAACCCUUCAUUGUUCUAUUCGUGCGUUCUGUUCAUGCCACCGAGGUCCUACAGUGAAAAGCCACUCAAUGUACAGGACAAAGUAAAAAUCUGGCCUGAUGAUGUUGAAUGUCCAUGUCUGAGCAAAAUUUCAUGGCAGUCUUAGUUGUUGAGAUUUUUAUCUAAAAAAAACAAAACACUGACAACCUGACGUGACGGUCAGUGGAUCAUUCUCUGAGUAUCAUUAUUGGAAAGAAACCACCUCAUGUUAAAGCAUCUAAAUGCUGUUUAGAUAUUUCAGUGUGAACCAACAUGAUAAACUGACCAACUGACUGAGAAAGCAACGAUAUUCCCAGAGUCCUGCUGCUAUUGUGGCCAGAAAUAAUGUUUUUCUCUGACAGUCUUUCUGCAGCCGACCAUCUCUGCCAUCACUGUGGAAUCAAUACAUCCUUCUGGCAAACAUGUUGAAGGUAUAUACACAGUGCUGUGAAAAUGUAUUUGCCCCCUUCCUGAUGUCCUGUAUCAUCUCAAAAUUCUUACACUUAAAUGUUCCAGAUCAUCAAAUUAUUUUUUAUAUUUAUUUGGUAUUAGACAAAGAUAAUCCACAAAACACAAAACGCUGUUUUUAAACUUUUAAAUUGUGGUUUAUAGCUUGUGAUCAGUCUUUUACAUCACCGUAGUUUUAAUAUGGAACAGAAGACAUCUGUACAGGGGUGGCAAAUAGUUUUUAACAGUACUGUACAUAAGAGGUUUUAACAUUUGGCUCUAAAAACAAAUGUUAAAACCUCUUUUAGGACCUGGGAAAGAUUCCUUUUGAGUGGCUGAACUGCUGUGUGGGUCUUAAUGCUGAUUUGUUAAACUUGGAAAGGACAACCAACAGCAUUUUUCUGACCUCUUGAUGUCAAAGCAUUUAAAUGCUGUUAGGAUAAUCUCAUUGUGAACCAAAGUGAUAAACUGACCAACUGCCUGAGAAGGCAAUGAUAUCCCCAGAGUCCUGCUGCCAUUGUGGCCAGAAGUAAUGUUUUUCUCUGACAGUCUUUCUACAGCCAACCACCUCUGCCAUCACUGUGGAAACUGUGGAAACAAAUUCAACACAUCCAUCUGCCAAACAUGUUAAAGACGCGGUACUCUUUGUGGUUUUCACAAUGUUUGCUGUGACGCUCAUAGUGAUAUUUGCCCUGGUUAUUGCCUAUAAAUACAAAUGUCACAAAGUGCGAGGUGCUGAGGUCACCACCUACAGAAACAAACCCAGUUCUUCAGAGGAAGCAACAGUUGGUGUAGAUAUUUAUGAAAAUCAAGAAGUUGUUCAGAACUCAAAGCCAAUGAAAUCCAGACAGCAGAGUGCCUGUCUGCAGUAUGACGACGUAGGUGAAGACCAACCAGACUAUGAAAACAUCACAGAAGACAUCUACUGUAACCAAAGUUUCCAUCGAGCCUAUAACAGAUGAACUGUUUGUACUGUUUUUAGCAUGAACAACAGCACAACACAGAUUCAUGUACCACUGCAAUCUGACAAUUACAUCCUCUAACUGAAGACUUUGUUGGUCUUUGUGACCCAGAUUUGUUUUAUUAUUAACUGAAGAUAUAAUUGAAUAUGUACAUAUUCAUGGUUUUAACUCUUUAAACUUUUGCCUUUGCAUUAAUCUUCUUCAGUCUGUACUCCUUGUAUCCAAUUGUGGAUAUUAUGUAAAAUUUCAACCAUACAACUUAAAUGUUAAUUACCUAUUUGUAUAUAAUAAAAGUAAAUAAGUAAA
ensembl:lncRNA